rnacentral:lncRNA from 13 species
GCUUUGACCUUUACAAUACUCCCAAGGGAAGGCUGGUAUUACCAUCACACCCAUUUUUGAGAGAAACAUGAAGCCAGGGUGCUGUACUGACUUGCCUGUGAUCACGUGGUCACAAAUUGGUGGAACUUGAACUCCGGUUUUCUUACUCCAAGCCCAAGGUUUUCUAUUUUCUUAGGGACUGAACAAAAACUCAGACCUGGUGAGAAUGCCCAGUGCCUACACCAAUAACCAGUUCUUUUCUCUUCCCUGGGCAUACGAAGACCAUGCUUCCCAGCUGGCCUGUAGUUAGCAGGGUCACAUGACUACGGCUGCCAAUAAAUGUGGGUGGAAGUGAUGUCUGUCACUUCCAGGCUGAGGCAGUGAAAGCAAGCUUUUGUGUGAUUGAUUCUCUUGUCCCUUCACAGAUGGGGGAGAUGAUGGGGGAGGACUGAUGUUCAGAUGGUGAAGUUACACCAAGGAAGCAUCCUGAAUUCUGAGUCACCACUUGGAUCACGGCUGUCCUGGAGAAUCACCCAGACCUGCUUUGGAGCCUGUCCCAGCAGCAGCGAACAGCAUCACAGGCUCUAAGUCAGGUUGCUUGGGGCUUACCAGCUCCACAACCUUGGUCCAGCUGCAAGUCCUCCCUCCGUCUCCUCAUCUGGAAAAUGGGGACACCCGGAGUAUCUCACUGGGUUAUGGUGAGGAUCGCACGGGGCAUGUCUGCAGGACGCUCGGCACAAUACCAGAUGCGCCGUAGGUAACAAUCAACGCUUGCUGGAAGUAUUAGCAUUUGCGUGAUUAUUAUCAGAAGCAGUAGCUGUAAUGGGGACUAUCUCACA